GAUUCAAUGUGCCCAAGGAGGCAACACACAGGGCUGGUUCUGCUGACUGCCCCCACCUCCUCUGCCCACCCAGUGGAAACCAGCUUGUGACUCAUAAAGGCAUCCUGGUCUCCCGUGGUGUUUCUGGUUCCACACACCAUUUGAGAAGGACAUCAGUUGUUACGAAGGACUGCUUCCCAAGCAGGCAUUUCCUUUGCUGCUGACAGGCAUGAGCUCUGUUACUUCUCAUGCUCAGGCUGCUGUUGCCUGAGAGACCAGAACAAACUGAAGAAGAAUCUGCACAUCCCAGGCACCAGGAUUUCCUACAGAACUGAUUGAUAUUCUUGCAGGAAUGAGUGCAGCAUCUCUGAGGAGAAAUGUUACCAUUUGGGGAACCCACAAGCAAUGAUCAGUGCUGCAAUUUGCUCUCCUCCACCACCCUUUGUAAUAUAAGAAGCAGCGAAUCAACUAAUAUGAAAGACACAAUCUAAGCUCCACAGGCACUGGCUUCCCUGAAAAUUCCUGCUUUUUACACAAGUGCCCUGAAGAAAGCAGUUCAAAGGAACCAGCAGCACAAAUCCAUUCCAAUCUCUGCUCUGACUCUGCCUUCCAGCCCCAACUGUUCUCUGCACAUUUCUAACAAUGACACAAAUCCUGUGGACUCCUCUGAAGAUGAUGUUGUUCCUUUUGGUCUGUGACACUCUCAGCAUAAAGAACUAGCUCACUGCAAUCUUUAUACACUCAUUAUUCCUGCUACUUCUUGGUUCCUAAUUAUAUGACUUUUAAACUCUUAGAAAGCAGCCCAUUGCUACCAACAUGUUUGUCUCGGAACUACUCCCUGAGAUUCCCAUGUCUCACAGGAAGCCUCCAGUGCAAUGAAAACAUUGCAUUUCUUUUCAACAGUUUUCUGUAUUCUGCCAACAUUUUGUUGAACAGAAAUCCUGCUUUUAAUUCAGUCUUGACAUUCUGAGACAGCCAGAGCCUGCCCAGCUAAUCACUGCCUCUUGCUACAUCAUUUGUUGAACUUCACUUCGGUCAGUGCAGCCAGAAAAUGCCUUUGGCAGUAAUGGAAUCAGAUUUCUUAGCAAGGUGCCUCCAUUUGCUCAAGGGUUUUCUAAUCACAUCUUAUGCUGGUGCUUUUGAGAGUUUUCCUCUGUAAGAUAUGCCUUCCUGUGAAUUACAGAGGGGCUAGCAUCUCCUCCCAAGCAUGCCUGGACAGCCAUUCCCUCUCAGCUGCUGCAAGAGCAACUGGCCUGCCAGCAAGCUCAUCUCUGUAGGGCACUGGUACCACCAUGCUUGUGCCCAGGCCUGAGGGUCCUCGGAUUUGUCCAGCUGUUUGGAAAACCUUUCAGAUUUUUCCAGUCUUACAAGGAAUUGUGGGUGUUCUUAAACAACAUUUCUCCAAAUUGAACUGCUGCACAGCUAUAGCCAUUUCCAGGGUCCCUUUCAACUGGUACAACCAUUUAUCCUACAGGAACACACAGUUCAGCAGUAAUCAUCUUCCAUGCUUUUAAGACAGUCCUGCACUGUUCUCACAUCCAAUCCACACCCAAAGCAAAAGCACAAACAUCUGCGACCAGUGGCCAAAGGGGCUUGGAUAAACCUAACACAUAAACAGGAACAAGAACCUUUCAAACCUGAAAAGAAAAUCCAAAUAUUAUUGUGCUGAAAGCACUGAAAGCAUUGCAUCUUUUUGUCUUGAUUUUGCCGUGAUUCUCAAAGAUUAGCAAGCUGGCAAAGGAACUUCCUGUCACCGGACUGAGCCAGCACUACACAGCUUCUCUUUCUCUCCACUGAUAAAAACACUUCUUCCUGUGCUGACUCCAGCUUCACAAUAAAUCACUCUUUAAGGAACACACUACAUUCCUCUGGAUUUAUUUUCGUAUUGGCAGCACUAAGCUAAUCACAUACUAUUUGUAAACAAAUCGGCACUUCAAGAGCAGGAGUCUGCAUCAAGAACAGGAACAGCACAGUAACAGAAGGAUGCUUUGCCACAACCUGUCAGCUCUCCUGGGAAGGAGCAUUGCCUACCAUUAUCCUCAACAGCUCUACUUUUAUACUAACAUUAAUUCUUCUUUUCCAGAUCAUCCUGCAUCUCUUGGAAAGCCAAGAACUGCAGCUGCUAUUGUGCCCAGCAUCUGAAGCAACACAAUGUGCUCAUUGCCAGUUAAUUGCCUUCCAGGCACCAUUUUUCUGAUUUUGACAAUUUUUAAAGAGAAUUUCCUCAACUGAAACCUGCAUGCAUUUUUUACUGUCUUUUUUUCCCCCAUUACAUAUAAUGAUUGUAAUCAAAUUUGAUUCAUCAUAAAAACAGUAGAAUGAUUAGUUAAUAGAGCACUAAUUUUCAGAGGCAAUCUUUCCCCAUUUGUCAGCAGGGGUGUAUGUUCACUGUCAUGGGCUUCCCUCAAGAGACAAUCCAGGAUAAACUGUUCUAUAGUAAGAGCUAUUUUCUGAAUAUCUGAGCUAUCAGUUUAAGUUUAGUUGGUGUUUACAGAACCAAUCUACCCAAAUAAGUCAGCUUCACACAGGCUCUCACAGCCUUGUUUCAGAUGUCUUCAGAAAAAGGUGAAGAGUUGUUUGUGCCAUUUUUCCUGAACAGGGAAUCUGUUAUAGUCACUGAAGAAUGAAGAUUCCCUUAACCUGCAAAUAAUACAAUUAAUUGUUCUUCUCCCAGGCUAGACAUGCUGCUUUUCUCCUUGGAAAGUGAGUAUCACAUGGUGUUAAGAUCAAGAAAACUGGAUACUACAUAUACCACAUGGUCUGAAAACAAAAAGAGCAAUUGGAAGGAUAACUUCCUGAGCUGCCCUGUGGAAUAGAAGAGCAAAAAAUAAAUGGACAAAAGCCUCCUUGGUCACAGCAGUCAUGGGAAUGCAUCCUAUUUCCAGAGCUGGUGACAUUAACCUUUAGCUGUAACACUCUUCAAGCAAACAGAACUACUGUAAGAGUCAAAAAUGCAGAUGGAGUAUUUUGAGAAACCCUACAGAGAGCUGGCACUCCAUAAAUUUUGCCAUGACAGUAUCUCUCAUCCUGGAGCUUGCCAGGAUAGCGUCUGGUAUCUGGGUUUGUGCUAGGAAAGGUGGGCAUAGGGAAACCUCACCUGUGUCAAGUGCCAUUUUCUGAACUGUUUCCAGACUAAUGGCACAGAAAGGGGGAAUAUAUCAGAUUUGGCCCCACAGCCUGUGAAACUGGCAAGAAGUAGUUGCAGAGUCUGCAGAGUUGCAGGUAGACAAGGAUCCCGAGACAGCACUAUCACACUGCCAAGUCUAGAAUUGCGUAACUGCUUAACAACUUCAUAUAUUCAAUAAAAAUUAAUAUAUUGAAUUUUCUAUAUAUUGAGGUUAAAAAAACCUCUUAAAAUCACUUAAAAGAUAUUGACAUCGUAUUAGCACAUAUGUAUACAGAAUCUGUUCUGCCAAAGUUAGUCCAAGACAGAAGGAAAAUAGAAAACAUGUAUUUUUACAUUACAAUUUAAUUACAUAUAUCUCUAUUAGUAGGUGCUAAUCUCACUGCAGAUUUUCUAAGGCACAGAAUCUUUAUCUGAAAAUAUACAGCAAUCUUUUCUUCAGUCCAGUACAAGCUGGUACCUUGUCAUAUACAGACCCAAAAACCCAUUCAGCACCAUACCACAAAUGCAACAUAUACUGACUAGCACUUUGAGAAGACUACCAUUUGUACUGAAAUAAAUACAGUUUGGCAGCAAAGACUCUAUCACAGCUUUGUCACAACUUUUGUCUACAUAAAUAUCUUGAUUCUAUUUCCUGUUUCAGGAAGAAUACAUUAAAUGCUUCAAUUCUCCCUCCAUCAGUUAGUCUCAUGUUUCACUGAUGAAAAUACCAUAACAUCUAAAUAAAUAAAUAAAUAAAUGAAACCAUUAAACUCCAUUUUUAGGUCCAUUUUUUUUCAGUUUUUAGUUGUGUAUUUAUUUAAACAAAAAAGCCCUGAGGAAUCUGUUAAGUCACACAUCAGUGAAUGGCAUAUAAAACAGAAGUCAUUGCUCCUGUUCACCAAGCAUGCAAUGCAAUAUUUAUACCACAGACGUUUUCAAAUGUAGUUUUAUUCCAGUGACUAUCUGCAGUUUAUACAUAUAUUUAAAAACAACAUUGUGUGAACAUAUCACAGACCAGUACCUAAAAAAUCUUUAGUACAUACUCCUUUAUAAAAGGUUUUGACACAAUGGAAAAGUCAGUCCAGAAAAACGCAUGUUACCACGUUUCUUGAUAAACAAAAGAUUGUGAGGCCCUGUAACCUGCAUAAGCACAAGUAUCCAUGGCAAUGGAUCUCUCUUCUAAAUCCUUGUUUCAAAUAAACAGGUUUAAAUUUUGUUCAGUAAACAAGUUCUACCACAACACCGUCCAUUUAAAUUUGUGCUUUCCAAAAGGCAAGCGAACUA